GAUGAACGCUGGCGGCGUGCUUAACACAUGCAAGUCGAACGGAAAGGCCCAAGCUUGCUUGGGUACUCGAGUGGCGAACGGGUGAGUAACACGUGGGUGAUCUGCCCCGCACUUCGGGAUAAGCCUGGGAAACUGGGUCUAAUACCGGAUAGGACCACUUCUUGGAGGUUGUGGUGGAAAGUUUUUUCGGUGUGGGAUGAGCUCGCGGCCUAUCAGCUUGUUGGUGGGGUAUUGGCCUACCAAGGCGUCGACGGGUAGCCGGCCUGAGAGGGUGUACGGCCACAGUGGGACUGAGAUACGGCCCAGACUCCUACGGGAGGCAGCAGUGGGGAAUAUUGCACAAUGGGCGCAAGCCUGAUGCAGCGACGCCGCGUGGGGGAUGACGGCCUUCGGGUUGUAAACUCCUUUCGCUAGGGACGAAGCGCAAGUGACGGUACCUAGAGAAGAAGCACCGGCUAACUACGUG
rnacentral:rRNA from 1 species